rnacentral:lncRNA from 10 species
CCGUGGGAGGGAAGGCACUCUCUGUCAAGCUGCUGUCACCUUACCUGAAGUAAGGAGUCCACGCCUGCAUGUCCGAGGAAAACAGUUUUCUCAAACACAUUAGUUGAAAAACUGAAGACGCUGCCUAAAAUACAAGCUGAGUUAGAGACAGCCCUUGUAAGACUAGAACACAUAAAAGCACUGUGGAAGUGGCAACAGGGAAGGUGAGAAGAGGAUUAUCAAAGACAUUGUGAUGAUAGAAUGGACAGGACUUGGUGAACUGAGUUGAUGCAGGCAGAAUCAUGAUAUUGUGUGAUUAAAGCCAUCUUGUGUCAUAUAAGGCUCAAACUGUAAUACUGGCUCUUCUCAGGUCUUGAGCCUACUUGCCUUCAGAUUGGAACUUUACCAUCUGCUCUCCUGGUUCUCAGGCCUUCAGGGGAGUCUAGAACUAUGCCACUGACUCUCCUGGUCUCCAGUUUUUCAACUUCAAAUCUUGGGAUUUAGUCUCGAUGAUCAUAAAAAGAAAUGGAAACUAAGUAACAUGAAUUAACAUAGUCCAGGGUCACAAAGCAACAUGGAACAAGAACCUGGAUCUGAAUUCAGAGGCAGAAUGCUGG